CUCCUCAGUAGCUCAGUGGUAGAGCGAUCGGCUGUUAACCGAUUGGUCGUAGGUUCAAGUCCUUCCUGAGGAGU
rnacentral:tRNA from 1 species